CCUCAUGCAGUGAAUGUAGUGGUGGUCUUGUUGUUCUGUAAUGGAUGGCUGCAUGCAGAGUGAUUUGUCGAUGUGAUCAGUUGAGAUGCAGGGUGGUUAUGUUGCAGGCAGCAGGCGCCUUCAUAUUAUCCUUUUAUUACAUUUUACCUGCUUCAUGUGAACAAAUCCACCCAGAGAUUCAACACACACUCAACAGCCACAUCUAGGACAUUAAGUGACAUAGGCUUACUGUCACCUUGAAUGAAUGGCAGCAGGUGCUGGCUGCUCCCCAGUCUGACCUGCAGGCUAUUAUCUGCUGCAUUACAAUGUGACUCUGUAAUGUCAGCCAACAAAAGCGCUCAUACUCACUCCCUUGCCUUUUACUUUUCCACUGUAACCUUCUUCACCGACCUUCUGCACCCACCCCAACACUUUCAUGCAGCGAGUUUAGUGUUACCUCCGGCCUAAUGAAUAGCUGUCCCCGUUGGUUUCAAGAGCAUCCAUCAUCUUCAGAGAAGCAGAGCAGGUUAGGACGGACUUCAAGCCCAGUAUGGACAUGAAGAAUGACUGCAGUGACUACUAACUCUUUAAACCUGCGUAUGGAUAUCUGCAGCAGGGGCUCUAUCUGACUGGUCCACCACCAGCCAAAGGCCAGAUGGGCUCAGCACGGCACUGUAAGACUGCAGGAAACAGUCCUGAACACACACUGGUGUGCAUGUAAAGCAGCUUAAGCAAGGUACUCCAGACGACCCUCUCCCCAGCAACAUUUUCAAGCUACCUUGGGGUCUCCUUUCAUUUGGACAUGCCUGGAAAACCUCCAAAGAAAGGCCCCCAGGAGGCAUCCUCUAAUCAGAUCUCAGCUGGUUCCUUUCAGCACGAAGGAGCAACAACUCUAUUCUGAGUUCCCUCCGGAUGUCCAAGCUUACCCUGUAUCUAUGGUUGAGCCUAUGGAGGAAGCUAAUUUCGACUGCUUGUAUUCGCAAAGCUCAUUCUCUCCUAGGUGAGGGGUUUAAACAAAGAUCGACUGGUAAAUCAAGCAAUCUGCCUGUCCAGCUCACAUUCCUUUUUACCAACACUUGCGAAGAUACCUAAACUCUUUUGUAUAGGGAAGAAACUAACUCCCAACCCAGAGGGCGCAAUCCACCAUUUUCCAGUAGAGAACCAUGACCUCAGACUUGGAGGUGCUGACCCUUAUCACGGCCACUUC